rnacentral:rRNA from 1 species
AUUGAACGCUGGCGGCAGGCUUAACACAUGCAAGUCGAGCGGAGAUGAGGUGCUUGCACCUUAUCUUAGCGGCGGACGGGUGAGUAAUGCUUAGGAAUCUGCCUAUUAGUGGGGGACAACAUUCCGAAAGGAAUGCUAAUACCGCAUACGCCCUACGGGGGAAAGCAGGGGAUCUUCGGACCUUGCGCUAAUAGAUGAGCCUAAGUCGGAUUAGCUAGUUGGUGGGGUAAAGGCCUACCAAGGCGACGAUCUGUAGCGGGUCUGAGAGGAUGAUCCGCCACGCUGGGACAGAGACACGGCCCAGACGCCUACGGGAGGCAGCAGUGGGGAAUAUUGGACAAUGGGCGGAAGCCUGAUCCAGCCAUGCCGCGUGUGUGAAGAAGGCCUUUUGGUUGUAAAGCACUUUAAGCGAGGAGGAGGCUACCUGGAUUAAUACUCUAGGAUAGUGGACGUUACUCGCAGAAUAAGCACCGGCUAACUCUGUGCCAGCAGCCGCGGUAAAAC